AUUGAACGCUGGCGGCAUGCCUUACACAUACAAGUCGAACGGCAGCACGGGUGCUUGCACCUGGUGGCGAGUGGCGAACGGGUGAGUAAUACAUCGGAACAUGUCCUGUAGUGGGGGAUAGCCCGGCGAAAGCCGGAUUAAUACCGCAUACGAUCUACGGAUGAAAGCGGGGGACCGUCGGGCCUCGCGCUAUAGGGUUGGCCGAUGGCUGAUUAGCUAGUUGGUGGGGUAAAGGCCUACCAAGGCGACGAUCAGUAGCUGGUCUGAGAGGACGACCAGCCACACUGGGACUGAGACACGGCCCAGACUCCUACGGGAGGCAGCAGUGGGGAAUUUUGGACAAUGGGCGAAAGCCUGAUCCAGCAAUGCCGCGUGUGUGAAGAAGGCCUUCGGGUUGUAAAGCACUUUUGUCCGGAAAGAAAUCCUUGGCCCUAAUACGGUCGGGGGAUGACGGUACCGGAAGAAUAAGCACCGGCUAACUACGUG
rnacentral:rRNA from 1 species